GAUGAACGCUGGCGGCGUGCUUAACACAUGCAAGUCGAACGGAAAGGCCCAAGCUUGCUUGGGUACUCGAGUGGCGAACGGGUGAGUAACACGUGGGUGAUCUGCCCUGCACUUCGGGAUAAGCCUGGGAAACUGGGUCUAAUACCGGAUAGGACCACUUCUCGGAUGUUGUGGUGGAAAGUUUUUUCGGUGUGGGAUGAGCUCGCGGCCUAUCAGCUUGUUGGUGGGGUAAUGGCCUACCAAGGCGUCGACGGGUAGCCGGCCUGAGAGGGUGUACGGCCACAUUGGGACUGAGAUACGGCCCAGACUCCUACGGGAGGCAGCAGUGGGGAAUAUUGCACAAUGGGCGCAAGCCUGAUGCAGCGACGCCGCGUGGGGGAUGACGGCCUUCGGGUUGUAAACUCCUUUCGCUAGGGACGAAGCGUUUUGUGACGGUACCUGGAGAAGAAGCACCGGCUAACUACGUG
rnacentral:rRNA from 1 species